GGGGACAAAAGUGCUCCGUUGCUGCCCACGGAAGACCUCAGCUAUGAUGUGAUGUGAAAAUCUAUCUAUCUAUCUAUCUAUCUAUCUAUCUAUCUAUCUAUCUAUCUAUCUAUCUAUCUAUCUAUCUAUCUAUCUAUCUAUCUAUCUAUCUAUCUAUCUAUCUAUCUAUCUAUCUAUCUAUCUAUCUAUCUAUCUAUCUAUCUAUCCAUCCAUCCAUCCAUCCAUCCAUCCAGCCAUCCAUCCAUCCGGGUACUUUGCAACGUCUUCCUGACAUCAAUGUGUGAUGUCCCGUCUUUGCCGCUAGGUGGCGUCCAGCCUCCAAAUAACGUCUCCAACGUUGUCGCAAAAAUAUCGAAUGCAGUAAAGCAUUGCACAUGAAAUAUGAAAAGUUUCUAACUUUCAAACACAUCUUAAUUGGGAAGUGCAUUUUUGUACAGUCCUUUUCGAAGUCUUCUCAGUUUCAGUCGUAUUCUUUAUUGUUCAGGGGAUUUUAAAUACCUGUGUUGAUGAUGAAAUCUGUUCUUAAUAAAACCACUGAAAGACCAACACUCCUUCCAACCACUCCUUCCAACAACAAAACAAGCAUUUACACCAUUCCAGGAGACCCAGUGACCACCACCAUGUGACCCAGCAGACAAAGGGGAGACACCUCAACAGAAACUAGGUGAACGACCCGACCAGCGACCCUGCUAACGACUCUCAGGUGACCACCCAGAUCAUUAGCAUGCAGAUGGUCCACAGGGGCUAUAUAUUUUCAAGCUCUCUCCCCAGCGAUUUCAGAACUGAAGAAUCCAAGGUGGUUUUCUCUGUCAACUGGACUGGGUUUCUUCUCUUGAAGACGUUUCGCCUUCUAUCCAGAAGGCUUCUUCAGUUUUGCUGAUUUGUGUUUCAGCGCCUUCAGUCAUGGCUUCCAUGGGCAGGUGCCAGAGCUGGUGUGUGCAGACAGGGCUGCUGCAGCCCAGCAUCGCUGCAGCUCUGGGCGUUAUCCAGAUCAUGGUGGCUAGGUUCUACUUGGGACUUGGUCCCAGACAAAUAUUUAACUUUCCUGUGGACUCUACUGAUAUGGGAGCUACAUUUUGGCUGGGUGUUGUGUACCUCACAGCUGGUGUCCUGGUUGUGGUUGCAGGCCUGUCUCUCUCUGUUUGGCUGAUGCGUGUCGCUGUGUCUGUCAACUUAUUUGGUUUAAUUGUCACCAUUGCUAGUAUUGUGCUGUAUGGCAUAGACCUGGGAGCCGUUUCUGUUGUUUGGAUGUGUCACAGCUACAGAGAAGACAAGAAUAACUGUUUAAAAGUGGUGUCCAUUGCUCAGAGUCUGUUGACAGCCACAUACAUCACUAUGACUGUCCUGGCUGCUCUGCAGUUAUGCGUAUGCAUCACUUUAGUAGUUCUGGGCAUCAAAAUGUUCAACGGGACUGAACAGGGGGACAAAAGUGCUCCGUUGCUGCCCACGGAAGACCUCAGCUAUGAUGUGAUGUGAAAAUCUAUCUAUCUAUCUAUCUAUCUAUCUAUCUAUCUAUCUAUCUAUCUAUCUAUCUAUCUAUCUAUCUAUCUAUCUAUCUAUCUAUCUAUCUAUCUAUCUAUCUAUCUAUCUAUCUAUCUAUCUAUCCAGCCAUCCAUCCAUCCGGGUACUUUGCAACGUCUUCCUGACAUCAAUGUGUGGUGUCCCGUCUUUGCCGCUAGGUGGCGUCCAGCCUCCAAAUAACGUCUCCAACGUUGUCGCAAAAAUAUCGAAUGCAGUAAAGCAUUGCACAUGAAAUAUGAAAAGUUUCUAACUUUCAAACACAUCUUAAUUGGGAAGUGCAUUUUUGUGCAGUCCUUUUCGAAGUCUUCUCAGUUUCAGUCGUAUUCUUUAUUGUUCAGGGGAUUUUUUAUACCUGUUAAAUACCUGUGUUGGUGAUGAAAUCUGUUCUUAAUAAAACCACUGAAAGAAAAACAGGGGUCUCAACGGUGCAUGUUCAGUCAUGAGUUUCUGUUUCCACAGCUUCAGUUGGUACCACAAGAGGGUGUUUUUUAUGCUAAUCAUGCUGUGAUAAAAUUGUUGCAAGGAAACUGCAUGAAAGUUGUAAUGACUGUACACUGUCAGGUUUUUAAUCACAGCUCAAUUCACUUUUUUUCUUCUUUUUUGCAGCUUUAAUGUAU
ensembl:lncRNA